rnacentral:rRNA from 1 species
GCUACCGGACCUAGCGGCGGACGGGUGCCCCAGUAAUGUAGGAAUCUGCCUAUUAGUGGGGGACAACAUCUCGAAAGGGAUGCUAAUACCGCAUAUUCGUCCUACCUAAGAAAGGGGGAUCUUCGGACCUUGCGCUAAGAUAGAUGAGCCUAAGUCGGAUUAGCUAGUUGGUGGGGUAAAGGCCUACCCCAAGGCGACGAUCUGUAGCGGUCUGAGAGGAUGAUCCGCCACACUGGGAGAGACACGGCCCAGACUCCUACGGGCUUCAGCAGUGGGGAAUAUUGGACAAUGGGGGGAACCCUGAUCCAGCCAUGCCGCGUGUGUGAAGAAGGCUUAUGGUUGGGUAAAGCACUUUAAGCGAGGAGGAGGCUACUUUAGUUAAUACCUAGGGAUAGUGGACGUUACUCGCAGAAUAAGCACCGGCUAACUCUGUGCCAGCAGCCGCGGUAAUACAGAGGGUCGAGCGUUAAUCGGAUUUGUUGGGCGUAUUAGCG